rnacentral:lncRNA from 1 species
UGUGAAAUACUGAUUUCAAUUAGUUUUUUUUCUAAUGUAAGAAUAGGAAAAUGAAAUAUAAAGUGAACCUAAUAUUAGCUAUCUAAUUCUUCGUACCUUAAAGGCUAGGGUUUAAAUCUUUUUAUUUAUAUAUGUGAUGGAUCUACAACCAGACCCCGGGGCCCCAGGGGUCACUAAAGUGCUACUUCCACUGAAAUGAUAAAUUUCAAGGCUGAAGAUAGUCCAUUGCUAUAUAAAGGGUAUAACCCAUAAGUGAUUUAGCU